rnacentral:rRNA from 1 species
UGGGGAAUAUUGGACAAGGGGCGAAAGCCUGAUCCAGCCAUGCCGCGUGAGUGACGAAGGCCUUAGGGUUGUAAAGCUCUUUUGGCGGGGAAGAUAAUGACGGUACCCGCAGAAUAAGCUCCGGCUAACUUCGUGCCAGCAGCCGCGGUAAUACGAAGGGAGCUAGCGUUGUUCGGAAUCACUGGGCGUAAAGCGCACGUAGGCGGAUUUGUCAGUCAGGGGUGAAAUCCCGGGGCUCAACCUCGGAACUGCCUUUGAUACAGCAAGUCUUGAGUUCGAGAGAGGUGGGUGGAAUUCCUAGUGUAGAGGUGAAAUUCGUAGAUAUUAGGAAGAACACCGGUGGCGAAGGCGGCCCACUGGCUCGAUACUGACGCUGAGGUGCGAAAGCGUGGGGAGCAAAC